GAUGAACGCUAGCGGCAGGCUUAAUACAUGCAAGUCGUGGGGCAGCACAAAUAGCAAUAUUGGGUGGCGACCGGCAAACGGGUGCGGAACACGUACGCAACCUUCCUUCGAGCGGGGAAUAGCCCAGAGAAAUUUGGAUUAAUACCCUAUAAUAUUUUGAGAUGGCAUCAUCUUAUUAUUAAAGCUCCGGCACUUGAAGAUGGGCGUGCGCCUGA
rnacentral:rRNA from 1 species